CUUGUUAAUUGUCCUUUUGACAGUCACAAAAGUCCAAACUGAUCUACAGCCAAUAAGUUACUAUGAAAACGUCUAUAUUCCAGUCAAUAUUCCUGUAAAGUGAUCCUAGCUCACAAAUAGAACGCAGUUCAUUGACAUGCAGUGAUUUCAGCAAAGUCAAUUUACCGGCUCUUAACAGGCUCUGUUUAUUGACACAUGUUAGAAGAAGCCAUCAAAGCCACUACACAACCUUACAACGGUAAUAACAUAGGAAUAUGGUAGAUAAACCGUACACAUGGUAACACCUAGACUGCAUACAACAUUUUACAUGAAAGAAAUCAGCACAGAGUCAAAGUACACAUUUGAAUUAUUUUAAGGGUUUCUUAAAAAACGCCUUACUUAAGAGAGAGUUCUAGAACUCUCAGCUAUUCUUAACGGGCGACUCUAAGUACCAAGACCAUUCUUUGGAUCUAACUCGACUCCUGUGCUGAUAUUGCCACCACAGAAUCAUAUUUGAUGAUGGAUACAGAAGUGUAGUUUUUGCAUUAUCAAAGCGGCUGAAGAGUUUGGGAGCCACGGAGAGUUCUAAAACAGCUAAUGAGAUGACUAUUACACAUUUGCUUAAGUAUUUAUAAUCAGUUAUUCAAAUGUUAAUGCAAAUUUGCUGUUCAUAUACUCUUAGAGAUUAUUUUUCCAAAACUGAAUGGCCUAUGCGGCAAUUUAUACAUGCCGUUUCUGAUGCUU